rnacentral:rRNA from 1 species
UACGUAGGGUGCGAGCGUUGUCCGGAAUUAUUGGGCGUAAAGAGCUCGUAGGCGGUGUGUCGCGUCGGCCGUGAAAACCUGCAGCUUAACUGCGGGCUUGCGGUCGAUACGGGCAUCACUGGAGUUCGGCAGGGGAGACUGGAAUUCCUGGUGUAGCGGUGAAAUGCGCAGAUAUCAGGAGGAACACCGGUGGCGAAGGCGGGUCUCUGGGCAGUACCUGACGCUGAGGAGCGAAAGUGUGGGGAGCAAACAGG